AGCGUAUACGGUGGAUGCCCUGGCAGUCAGAGGCGAUGAAGGACGUGCUAAUCUGCGAAAAGCGCCGGCGAGGUGAUAUGAACCCUUGACCCGGCGAUGUCCGAAUGGGGAAACCCAGUGUGAUUCGUCACACUAUCGUUAACUGAAUACAUAGGUUAACGAGGCGAACCGGGGGAACUGAAACAUCUAAGUACCCCGAGGAAAAGAAAUCAACCGAGAUUCCCCCAGUAGCGGCGAGCGAACGGGGAGCAGCCCGGAGUCUGAAUCAGCUUGUGUGUUAGUGGAACGGUCUGGAAAGUCCGACGGUACAGGGUGAUAGUCCCGUACACGAAAGCACACUUGCUGUGAACUCGAAGAGUAGGGCGGGACACGUGGUAUCCUGUCUGAAUAUGGGGGGACCAUCCUCCAAGGCUAAAUACUCCUGACUGACCGAUAGUGAACCAGUACCGUGAGGGAAAGGCGAAAAGAACCCCGGCGAGGGGAGUGAAAAAGAACCUGAAACCGUGUACGUACAAGCAGUGGGAGCACCUUCGUGGUGUGACUGCGUACCUUUUGUAUAAUGGGUCAGCGACUUAUAUUCUGUAGCAAGGUUAACCGUAUAGGGGAGCCGAAGGGAAACCGAGUCUUAACUGGGCGUUAAGUUGCAGGGUAUAGACCCGAAACCCGGUGAUCUAGCCAUGGGCAGGUUGAAGGUUGGGUAACACUAACUGGAGGACCGAACCGACUAAUGUUGAAAAAUUAGCGGAUGACCUGUGGCUGGGGGUGAAAGGCCAAUCAAACCGGGAGAUAGCUGGUUCUCCCCGAAAGCUAUUUAGGUAGCGCCUCGUGAACUCAUCUUCGGGGGUAGAGCACUGUUUCGGCUAGGGGGCCAUCCCGGCUUACCAACCCGAUGCAAACUACGAAUACCGAAGAAUGUUAUCACGGGAGACACACGGCGGGUGCUAACGUCCGUCGUGAAGAGGGAAACAACCCAGACCGCCAGCUAAGGUCCCAAAGUCAUGGUUAAGUGGGAAACGAUGUGGGAAGGCACAGACAGCCAGGAUGUUGGCUUAGAAGCAGCCAUCAUUUAAAGAAAGCGUAAUAGCUCACUGGUCGAGUCGGCCUGCGCGGAAGAUGUAACGGGGCUAAACCAUGCACCGAAGCUGCGGCAGCGACACUAUGUGUUGUUGGGUAGGGGAGCGUUCUGUAAGCCGUUGAAGGUGUGCUGUGAGGCAUGCUGGAGGUAUCAGAAGUGCGAAUGCUGACAUAAGUAACGAUAAAGCGGGUGAAAAGCCCGCUCGCCGGAAGACCAAGGGUUCCUGUCCAACGUUAAUCGGGGCAGGGUGAGUCGACCCCUAAGGCGAGGCCGAAAGGCGUAGUCGAUGGGAAACAGGUUAAUAUUCCUGUACUUGGUGUUACUGCGAAGGGGGGACGGAGAAGGCUAUGUCAGCCGGGCGACGGUUGUCCCGGUUUAAGCAUGUAGGCGGAGGUUCCAGGUAAAUCCGGUACCUUAUUAACGCUGAGGUGUGAUGACGAGGCACUACGGUGCUGAAGUGAUAAAUGCCCUGCUUCCAGGAAAAGCCUCUAAGCAUCAGGUAACACGAAAUCGUACCCCAAACCGACACAGGUGGUCAGGUAGAGAAUACCAAGGCGCUUGAGAGAACUCGGGUGAAGGAACUAGGCAAAAUGGUGCCGUAACUUCGGGAGAAGGCACGCUGAUGUGUAGGUGAAGUCCCUGCGGACGGAGCUGAAAUCAGUCGAAGAUACCAGCUGGCUGCAACUGUUUAUUAAAAACACAGCACUGUGCAAACACGAAAGUGGACGUAUACGGUGUGACGCCUGCCCGGUGCCGGAAGGUUAAUUGAUGGGGUUAGCUGUAAGGCGAAGCUCUUGAUCGAAGCCCCGGUAAACGGCGGCCGUAACUAUAACGGUCCUAAGGUAGCGAAAUUCCUUGUCGGGUAAGUUCCGACCUGCACGAAUGGCGUAAUGAUGGCCAGGCUGUCUCCACCCGAGACUCAGUGAAAUUGAACUCGCUGUGAAGAUGCAGUGUACCCGCGGCAAGACGGAAAGACCCCGUGAACCUUUACUAUAGCUUGACACUGAACACUGGUCCUUGAUGUGUAGGAUAGGUGGGAGGCUUUGAAGCGUGGACGCCAGUCUGCGUGGAGCCGCCCUUGAAAUACCACCCUUUAAUGGCUGGUGUUCUAACGUAGACCCGUAAUCCGGGUUGCGGACAGUGUCUGGUGGGUAGUUUGACUGGGGCGGUCUCCUCCCAAAGAGUAACGGAGGAGCACGAAGGUUGGCUAAUCCUGGUCGGACAUCAGGAGGUUAGUGCAAUGGCAUAAGCCAGCUUGACUGCGAGCGUGACGGCGCGAGCAGGUGCGAAAGCAGGUCAUAGUGAUCCGGUGGUUCUGAAUGGAAGGGCCAUCGCUCAACGGAUAAAAGGUACUCCGGGGAUAACAGGCUGAUACCGCCCAAGAGUUCAUAUCGACGGCGGUGUUUGGCACCUCGAUGUCGGCUCAUCACAUCCUGGGGCUGAAGUAGGUCCCAAGGGUAUGGCUGUUCGCCAUUUAAAGUGGUACGCGAGCUGGGUUUAGAACGUCGUGAGACAGUUCGGUCCCUAUCUGCCGUGGGCGCUGGAGAAUUGAGGGGGGCUGCUCCUAGUACGAGAGGACCGGAGUGGACGCAUCACUGGUGUUCGGGUUGUCAUGCCAAUGGCACUGCCCGGUAGCUAAAUGCGGAAGAGAUAAGUGCUGAAAGCAUCUAAGCACGAAACUUGCCCCGAGAUGAGUUCU
rnacentral:rRNA from 1 species